GUGCUCACUUUGGCUGCACAUAUACUAAAAUUGGAACAACACAGAGAAGAUUAGCAUCACUCCUGUUGCAGAAUGACAUGCAAAUUAACUCAAUCUACUAUCUAAUG
rnacentral:snRNA from 1 species